rnacentral:rRNA from 1 species
CCUACGGGGGGCAGCAGUGGGGAAUUUUGGACAAUGGGCGAAAGCCUGAUCCAGCCAUGCCGCGUGAGUGAAGAAGGCCUUCGGGUUGUAAAGCUCUUUCGGUCGGAAAGAAAUAUCUAUAGAAAAUAUCUAUAGAGGAUGACGGUACCGACAUAAGAAGCACCGGCUAACUACGUGCCAGCAGCCGCGGUAAUACGUAGGGUGCAAGCGUUAAUCGGAAUUAUUGGGCGUAAAGGGUGCGCAGGCGGUAUUGUAAGUCAGAUGUGAAAGCCCCGGGCUUAACCUGGGAAUUGCGUUUGAAACUGCAAUGCUAGAGUGUGGUAGAGGAGAGUGGAAUUCCAUGUGUAGCAGUGAAAUGCGUAGAGAUGUGGAAGAACACCAAUGGCGAAGGCAGCUCUCUGGAUUAACACUGACGCUCAUGCACGAAAGCGUGGGGAGCAAACAGGAUUAGAUACCCCGGUAGUC